ensembl:lincRNA
GGCGACAGCCAACCAAUCUACUGAGCGUCACACUUUGUUCCCUAGCAGAGACCAUUGUCUGCGCCUUAUCUCCCUGUCUUCAGGAACCAGGAAUGCCAAGAACCAAUCGGACCGAGCAGAACCAGCAGGAACAGUUCAACUGUCACAAACUGCCAUUGCUGCUGCCACCAACCAUCAGGAGCUGCCACGAACCAUCAUCAGGAUCUCUCACCAACUUGCAUCAGGGCAGUCCUGUUAUCCUUUUAUAAGUGACCACUGUGGACGGAGCCUCGAGCAUGACUUCAGCCAAAUCCAGCUUGCCUGUUGGCGCAUUCCUGCACGAGACCUCCAAGCGUCCAUUUUCGUACUCAUUCUCUCCCAACAAUCGAACGAGAUGCAACUCCCAACCAACACAGGCCUGGCUUAUGACUCCAUGUUCGGGGCACAGGAUGAACACCAGAAAGUGGCCACUUGCUGGAACAAAUGUGCGGAAACAAAAAGCGCCCACAGACGUCAACGGGCAAUCAUCUCCUCCCUGUUCAGCUCAACAUGAAGAAGAGCCGGUUAACAUCCACAGAGCUGCUGAACGGGGUGUCGAUCGCCAAUGGAAAAAGCUUCAAUGCAGAUGUCGAGACUCACUAAAGUCAGGAGGAAGGCCAAUCAAUCUGGUGCUCAAGAUGAGAUAUGAAACGUACUUCACUUUUAAGAUUUGAACGAAACUUGAUACUGCAUACUGCAGCAGAAUGAUUGCUGAGACCCCAUCAACCUUUGAAGACCCCUAAAGACCCAAAAGACUCUGAUGUCUCAAAAGACCCCGAGGAUAUAAAAAUACCCAGAGGACCCAAAAGACCUCGAGGACCCAAAAAGACCCAGAAGACGCAAAUGAUCCAAAAGGUUCAGAUGACUCACAAGUCCACGAGGACCCAGAAGAUACAAAAGACCCAGAGGACCCAAAGGACACAGAUGACCAAAAAGACGCAAAAUACCCCGAGGACCCAAAAGACCCAUAUGACCCAAACGUUCCCUCGGACCCAAAAGACCUGGAGGACCCAAAAGACCCAGAAGACUCAAAAGUUCCUGAUGAUCCAAAAGACCCACAAGACCCUGAAGAUCCUGAAGACUCAAAGGAUGGUUUGGAAAUGUACCCCGGGGGGAAAGCAUUCAUGUACAUGUAGGAUUUCUGAGAAUGAGUUAUUAAUUUGUGUAUGUGGGAGGUAGACCUUUUCCCCUUGUCCUGGGGUUUUAAGAGGAUGUGUUGGGGUUAGUCUGUUUGUCCCUGGUGUAUCUUCCCCCUUCUGCUACUUUCAUUUUUUUCUCUCAAUCCACUAUCGGUCUGUCCUUCCACAAAGGCAUGUGCUACAACCCAGGGUUUUUGGAUGGGGAGCACAUAGGCUUCGGCCAUUUGGUAAAAUAGUCCAUGACCACGAGGAUGUACUGUAUUUGUUACCUUGGCAGGUGUGACGAAGUGGUCCUGGAAUGUCCAUAGCCACCCACUCAAGAGGGGCCGCUACCUGGUGUAAUAGAAGGGGGGCCCUCAUCCUCCAUGCCAGUCCCAUUUUAGCAGUGCAGGCGUUGCAUAUUCGACACCAGUCCUGUAUAUCAUGGCCCAUAUUUACCCAAAAGAACUGCCCGCAGAUCCGAGAUGUUGUCCUUGUUCUACCCAAAUAUCUGCCACAGUGGGUACCAUGCACCUAUUGUAAAAUUGUGGUUUUGAAUUUGUUUGGGACUUUACCAGCCAGGAAGUUUUCUCAGAGGGAAUUUCCACACACUUGUGAUAUAAAAUGUUGUUCUUUCAAUUCCAAGGUCUUCCAUUGAGCCUCGUAUGCCUUUCAUCACACUCCAAGGGGAUGGGGGGGUGACUUCCUCCCCACAGGAUCUUUUACCAAC